UUACGUCAUCAGCGCGAGACCACGGUUCAAGUCAUGGCAGUGACAACAUAAGAGGACCCAUGGAUAUGGAAGCACUGUCAUGGAAAUCCAGAGACCUGUGCUCUCUCCAGUGAUGUCCAGAAUUACAGUCCUAAAAGAGAAAAUUCAGCAAUGUGAAUCCCUGUUAAAUAUCACUGGACAAACAUGAAACAUAAGCAGUGCACAAAAGUCUCCAGCAGAGGACAAACCUUACCACCAUGAACAUUAAGGGUGUAGCCCAACACGUGUCCAUCACCAGGGCAAACUGGCGGCUGUCAACCCCCUCAACACGAACUUCCAC